UAGGGAAUCUUCGGCAAUGGGGGGAACCCUGACCGAGCAACGCCGCGUGAGUGAAGAAGGUUUUCGGAUCGUAAAGCUCUGUUGUUAAGGAAGAACGAGUGUGAGAAUGGAAAGUUCAUACUGUGACGGUACUUAACCAGAAAGGGACGGCUAACUACGUGCCAGCAGCCGCGGUAAUACGUAGGUCCCGAGCGUUGUCCGGAUUUAUUGGGCGUAAAGCGAGCGCAGGCGGUCAAUUAAGUCUGAUGUGAAAGCCCCCGGCUCAACCGGGGAGGGUCAAUGGAAACUGGUUGACUUGAGUGCAGAAGAGGAGAGUGGAAUUCCAUGUGUAGCGGUGAAAUGCGUAGAUAUAUGGAGGAACACCAGUGGCGAAGGCGACUCUCUGGUCUGUAACUGACGCUGAGGCUCGAAAGCGUGGGUAGCAAACAGG
rnacentral:rRNA from 1 species